UAGAGACAGGGUUCCACCGUGUUAGCCAGGAUGAUGUAGAUCUGCUGACCUCGUGAUCCGCCCGCCUCGGCCUCCCAAAGUGCUGAGAUUACAGGCCUUGAAAAUAUUCAGGAUAUCCAGUUACUGGCCACUAUCUGUCCCCUGAUACCAAGAAGUUGGACACAGAACUAUACCUUCUCUGAUACAGUAGUUGCUUGAAGAGACCAUGGAUUCAAUUGUGGAACACUAGUUUGUAUUACUGAAGGCUGGCCAAGCUGUUGAAAUACUUGCUGAAUUGGAUGCUGAAGAAUACCUGCUCUUCCAGAAGUCUCUGUCACCAUAAUUGGUACAUUGACUUUAUAAAGGUGACCUUAAAAAGGAGAAAGCAAAAUUGAAACAAACUUCAAAAAGAAGCCUACAAGAAGUACAUCAAAGAUUACAUAAAAUCAAUCAAAGGCCAACAUGAAGAACAGAGACCUAAACAGUAAAACCUUUUAUGACAGAAGCUGUAGAACAAACCAAGCACAUCUUACUAAUUUCAACAACUACCAGUUUUUUACCAGUAAAAACAUGAAUCCAGAUGGCAUAGUUGCUCUACCAUGAGGAUGGUGUGACCCUGUAUAUGAUUUUCUUUAAAGAUGGUUUAGAAAUGGAAAAAUGUUAACCAAUUGGCAAUUACUUUGGCUCUAUCACCUGUCAUCACAACUGCUUGCUGCCUAUCACCCACAUGACACAAUGACUUAAGAUAAAUUGGACUGAUGUCAACUUGAGCUCUUCAUUUAUUUCGACCAUUAUAUCUUUGGAGUGGAAGCAUUGUUUUUAAGAAAAACAGGUCGGCUGGCGUGGUGGCUCACGCCUGUAAUCCCAGCACUUUGGGAGGCCAAGGCUGGUGGAUCACAAGGUUGGGAGUUGGAGACUAACCUGGCCAAUAUGGUGAAACACCAUCUCUACUAAAAAUAAAAAAAUUAGCUGGGCAUGGUGGUGCAUGCCUGUAAUCCCAGCUACUCAGGAGGCUGAGGCAGGAGAAUCGCUUGAACCAGGGAGUCGGAGGUUGCAGUGAACCGAGAUCACGCCACUGCACUCCAGCCUAGUGACAGAGUAAGACUCUGUCAAAAAAAAAAAACAAAAAACUUGUCAAGUAGGUUGUCUAAAAAUAAAAUGCACUUAAACUCAUUUGAAAGAAUCCUUUUUAGUUUAAUAUAUGUUUAUGCUAAAUCCAUCCUAUA
rnacentral:lncRNA from 1 species